UAGCCAUGCAUGCCUAAGAACACGUACUAGUAUUACGAAUCCGUAUACGGCUCNCCANNNCNGCUAUUAUUUAAGGGUGCUAAGCUAAACCAUGGAUAACUGUGGUAAUUCUAGAGCUAAUACAUUCACUAAAACUGUAACUCACGUAGCAGUGGAUUUAUUAAUCAAAACCAAUCUGUUUCGGCAGUAUUUUGAUGACUCAGAGUAACUCACCUAAUCGUAUAGCCUUGUGCUGGCGAUACUACCCUUAAAGUGGCUGACCUAUCAACUUUCGAUGGUAAGUUAAAAGCUUACCAUGGUUAUAACGGGUAACGGGGAAUCAGGGUUCGAUUCCGGAGAGGGAGCCUGAGAAACGGCUACCACAUCUACGGAUGGCAGCAGGCACGUAACAUGCCCAAUGCUUGAAAAGCGAGGCUGUGAAGAUAAAUAACAAUAUGAGCUCUUUGAGUAUCAUAAUUGCAAUGAGAUCAGUGUAAAUAAUUUACCGAGUAACAAUUGGAGGGCAAGUCUGGUGCCAGCAGCCGCSGUAAUUCCAGCUCCAAUAGUGUAUAUUAAAGUUGUUGCAGUUAAAAAGCUCGUAGUCGAAAUUGGGGUGCGCUUUUGAGUAAUUGCUCCGGUAAUAAUUCAAUCGCCACCUUACCAGUCGUGUACACUGUUGAUGUCCUUCAUAGGGUGUUGACAGCGACCGACAAGUUUACUUUGAAAAAAUUAGAGUGCUUAAAGCAGGCUUUUGCUUGAAUAAUGUUGCAUGGAAUAAUGGAAUAGGACUUUGGUUCUAUUUUGUUGGUUUUCGGAACCGAAGUAAUGAUGAGAAGAGACAGCGGAGGGUAUGCGUACGCUGGUGUGAGAGGUGAAAUUCUAAGAUCAUCAGCAGACGAACAACAGCGAAAGCAUUUGCCUACAAUGUUUUCAUUGAUCAAGAACGAAAGUCAGAGGAUCGAAGACGAUCAGAUACCGUCCUAGUUCUGACCAUAAACUAUGCCAACUGACGGUUCGCUAAGGCAACUUGUUGAGCCUUGCGAGCAGUCACCGGGAAACUAAAGUCUAUGGGUUCCGGGGGAAGUAUGGUUGCAAAGCUGAAACUUAAAGGAAUUGACGGAAGGGCACCACCAGGAGUGGAGCCUGCGGCUUAAUUUGACUCAACACGGGAAAUCUCACCCGGUCCGGACACUGCGAGGAKKGACAGAUUGAUAGCUCUUUCUUGAUUCGGUGGGUGGUGGUGCAUGGCCGUUCUUAGUUGGGUGGAUUGAUUUGUCUGGUUAAUUCCGAUAACGAACCGAGACUCUAACCUACUAACUAGUACAUGUGUGAACUUCUCUAGCGCAUGCUGACUUCUUAGAGGAAUUAGUGACUAUAUCAAUGAAAAGGACAAUACGCGUCUGUGAUGCCCCCAGAUGUCCGGGGCCGCANGCGCGCUNCAAUGGNAGUACCAGCNNAGUUUUUUUCCUANCCUGANAGGGNCGGGCAACCUGCUAAUUGCUGUCAUAUCNGGAAUANUGGUUUUGAAAUUUUUCCACUUGAACGAGGAAUUCCUAGNAAGNGCAAGUCACUAACUUGAUGCUGAAUACGNCCCUGCCCUUUGUACANACCGCCCGUCGCUNCUACCGAUCGAAUGAGUUANCGAGAUUGNCCNAUUUGAANCUAAGUAACUUCGGNNNNNNUUANUAUGAAUUGGAGAAAAUACUCCAAACUNGCUCUAUUAGAAGCCAAGCAAAACGAAACANGGNNNCCCUNNNGUGAAANCUNGNNNAAANGNA
rnacentral:rRNA from 1 species